rnacentral:rRNA from 1 species
UAAUUAUUGAGUUUGAUGAUGGCUCUGAUUGAACGCUGUCCAAAGGCUUGACACAUGCUAAUCAUACAUUAUUUAAUACCUAAGUUAUUUCGUAUCAAAUAAGGUGGUGUAAAGGUGAGUAUAUGAUAUUUUUACUGCCUUAAAGCAAGGAAAAAAUUCCUUAUAAAGUACAAAAACGCUAAUUAACAGGGUUGUUGUAUUAUAGAAAAUAUAAUUUUCGCUUUAAGAUGCCUUAAAUAUUAUCAAGUAAGUAGUAGUUAAGGUAAUUGCUUAACUAGCUUAAGCUUGUAGUCAUAACUGAGAGGUUUAUUGAUCACAUUGGGUCUGAAAAAACCCCAAUACGUACAGUACAGCAGUGAGGAAUAUUGGUCAAUGGCCUAACGGCUGAACCAGCAAUUUGGGGGAAUGUAGCUAUAUACAACAAGGUAUAUAGGUAUCGACUAUGUCGAAUAAAGUUCUAAAUAGAUAAUUGAUAGUGACAAACUUCUAUUUAUAUGUCUCGACCAAUUCUUGUGCCAGCAGUCGCGGCAACACAAGUGAGACUAGUGUUAUUCAUCUUUAUUAGGUUUAAAGGGUACCUAGACGGUAUUUUCAGCCCCAGAAGGGUACAGAAUUACUAGAGUUUUAUGGGAGAGGCAAAUAUUAGGACCAUUGGUGUAGAGAUGAAAUUCUUUGAUACUAGUGGGAUGUGUAAUGGCGAAGGCAACCCUCUAUGUACAAACUGACGUUAAGGGACGAAGGCUUGGGGAGCGAAUAGGAUUAGAUACCCUAGUAGUCCAGGCAGAAAAUUAUGUAUGUUAUAGACUUCGAUUUAAUCGAUGUGUAUAAAUGAAAGUGUAAGCAUACCACCUCAAGAGUAAUGUGGCAACACAGGAACUGAAAUCAUUAGACCGUUUCUGAAACCAGUAGUGAAGUAUGUUAUUUAAUUCGAUGACCCUCGAAAAACCUUACCACAAUUUGAAUAGUUAGUUUUCUUGAAUAAUGUAUUCAGGCGCAAAUGAUAUUGCGUGCAAAAAAAUUAAUUACAAGCGUUGCACGGCUGUCUUCAGUUAAUGUCGUGAGAUUUUGGUUAGAUCCAUUAAAUUAACGUAAACCCUUGCUUUAUUUAUUGUCAAUAGAGCAGUUCACCGCUAGAUUGGAUUUGAUAACAGGGACCAAGACAAGUCAUCAUGACCUUAAUAUUGUGGGCUAUAGACGUGCCACAUAU